UACGUAGGGCGCAAGCGUUGUUCGGAAUUACUGGGCGUAAAGAGUGUGUAGGCGGUUUUCCAAGUUCGGUGUGAAAUCCCCCGGCUUAACUGGGAGGGUGCGCCGGAAACUGGAGUGCUCGAGCGUGGGAGAGGAAAGCGGAAUUCCUGGUGUAGCGGUGAAAUGCGUAGAUAUCAGGAGGAACACCUGCGGUGUAGACGGCUUUCUGGACCAUUGCUGACGCUGAGACACGAAAGCGUGGGUAGCAAACAGG
rnacentral:rRNA from 1 species